rnacentral:rRNA from 1 species
GAUGAACGCUGGCGGCGUGCCUAAUACAUGCAAGUCGAGCGAACAGAUGAUGAGCUUGCUCCUCUAACGUUAGCGGCGGACGGGUGAGUAACACGUGGAUAACCUACCUAUAAUACUGGGAUAACUUCGGGAAACCGGAGCUAAUACCGGAGAAUAUAUUGAACCGCAUGGUUCAAUAGUGAAAGACGGUUUUGCUGUCACUUAGAGAUGGAUCCGCGCCGCAUUAGCUAGUUGGUAAGGUAACGGCUUACCAAGGCAACGAUGCGUAGCCGACCUGAGAGGGUGAUCAGCCACACUGGAACUGAGACACGGUCCAGACUCCUACGGGAGGCAGCAGUAGGGAAUCUUCGGCAAUGGGCGCAAGCCUGACGGAGCAACACCGCGUGAGUGAUGAAGGUCUUCGGAUCGUAAAGCUCUGUUAUUAGGGAAGAACAAAUGUAUAAGUAAAUAUGCACGUCUUGACGGUACCUAAACAGAAAGCACCGGCUAACUACGUG